rnacentral:rRNA from 1 species
AUUGAACGCUGGCGGCAUGCCUUACACAUGCAAGUCGAACGGUAACAGGUCUUCGGAUGCUGACGAGUGGCGAACGGGUGAGUAAUACAUCGGAACGUGCCUAGUAGUGGGGGAUAACUACUCGAAAGAGUGGCUAAUACCGCAUGAGAGCUACGGAUGAAAACAGAGGAACGCAAGACCUUGCUCGACGAGAGCGGCCGAUGGGAGAUUAGGUAGUGGGUGGGAUAAAAGCUUACCAAGCCGACGAUCUGUAGCUGGUCUGAGAGGACGAUCAGCCACACUGGGACUGAGACACGGCCCAGACUCCUACGGGAGGCAGCAGUGGGGAGUUUUGGACAAUGGGCGCAAGCCUGAUCCAGCAAUGCCGCGUGCAGGAUGAAGGCCUUCGGGUUGUAAACUGCUUUUGUACGGAACGAAAAGCCCUGGGUUAAUACCCUGGGGUCAUGACGGUACCGUAAGAAUAAGCACCGGCUAACUACGUGCCAGCAGCCGCGGUAACAC